CCUACAUCAGUGAUGGCCUCCUGAGGGUCGGAGGGCGUCUCAGACAUGCUUCCCUUGAAUCAGAGGUAAAAAACCCAAUCAUCCUCUCAAAGAAUAGCCAUGUUACCAAGCUGCUUGUGAAACACCAUCACAUGGAAGUGAAACACCAGGGGCGUCAGUUCACAGAAGGGGCCAUCAGAGCGGCUGGACUGUGGAUUGUUGCUGGCAAGAGGCUGGUGAGUUCUAUCCUUCAUCGCUGUGUAAUAUGCCGAAAGCUCAGGGGGAAGGUAGAAGUGCAAAAGAUGGCUGACCUCCCUCCGGAGCGGCUCAACACAUCUCCACCCUUCACGUACGUGGGGCUGGACAUAUUUGGACCAUGGUCGGUGGUCACUCGACGCACUCGUGGAGGUGCAGCGCAAAGCAAAAGGUGGGCCAUUCUGUUCACAUGUAUGAGUACCAGGGGAGUACACAUCGAAGUUAUAGAGUCUAUGGAUGCCACCAGCUGUAUCAAUGCAUUGCGGAGAUUCUUUGCAGUUAGAGGCCCCGCAAAGCAGCUUAGGUCAGACAGGGGGACUAACUUCGUCGCUGCCAGCGCGGAACUGGGCAUGGGGUGUCUUGAUGAGAGGCAGACCAGCAUCCUGAAGUAUCUCCACAGCAACGGCUGCACAUGGAAGUUCAAUCCCCCGCACGCCUCCCACAUGGGGGGAGUGUGGGAGCGUAUGAUUGGGGUGACACGCAGAAUAUUAGACUCUAUGCUUUUACAAAACAAACGCACUCACCUGACACAUGAGGUUCUGUGUACCCUGAUGGCAGAGACCUCAGCAAUAAUCAACGCAAGGCCGCUGGUCCCCAUCUCAUCGGAUCCCUCCUCACCAGUUCUGCUAUCCCCUGCCAUGCUCCUAACUCAAAAGCCAGGCCUACAUGCUCCACCAGGAAUCUUCACUGGAAAAGAUCUCCUGAAAGGCCAGUGGAGGCAAGUGCAAGCGCUUGCGAAUGAAUUCUGGGGCCGUUGGAGAAACGAAUACCUAAGCACGCUCCAUUCAAGACGCAAGUGGCACAGAACGCAUCGGAACCUGCAACCUGGGGACAUUGUGCUGUUACACCAAAGUCAAGCGCCUAGGAAUGAGUGGCCAAUGGCUCUGGUCACGUCAACCUCUCCAAGCAGCGAUGGAAAGGUCCGCACAGUUGAAGUACGGACGUCAUCUCAGGGCACCUCGAAGACUUACCUGCGGCCCAUCUCCGACGUCGUCCUUCUGCUGGAAAAUGACUGGGAAGGACGGGAUUGAAAAGGACAGAGAGAAAACAGCUUAAAUUUAGUGGCAUUAGUUAUGCCAGACGGGGAGUGUUCUGCCCGCAGAUUUGUUUAGUUCAUGUGAUUAAUUGCUUUGUUGAGCGGAACCUUUAUUUCCGUAAGUUAUACGCAAUUUGUGCACAUGCGCUAUUUCCA
rnacentral:lncRNA from 1 species